rnacentral:rRNA from 1 species
AGAGUUUGAUUCUGGCUCAGGACAACGCUGGCGGCGUGCCUAACACAUGCAAGUCGGACGGGGUGAUUCGCUUCCUAGUGGCGGACGGGUGAGUAACGCGUGAAUUACCUACCCUAGGGAGGGGGAUAACGCCAGGAAACGGGUGCUAAUACCCCAUAGCCGGGAGGUUAAAGGACACAUCUGCCCUAUGAUGGGUUCGCGUCCUAUCUCCUAUUUGGUGGGGUACUGGCCUACAUUAGCUAAUACGGGUAGCCGGGCUGAGAGGAUGUACUGACACACUGGAACUGAGACACGGUCCACACUCCUACUGGAGGCAGCAAUGGGGAAUAUUGGGCAAUGGGAGGAAGCCUGAGCCAACGACGCCCCGUGAGGGACGUUGUUGCCCUCUGUUGUACAGGUCUUCCUUACUCAGGAGCCCCGGCAACUACGUGCCUGCAACCGCGGUAAUACGUGGGGCUGAGCGUUGUCCGCAUUACUGGGCGUAAAGGCGGGCAUGCGGAUAUGCUGGUCUGCUGUGUAAUGUCACGGCUCAGCCGUGUCAUUGCGGUGGAAACUGCAUAUCUGGAGUACUGGAGAGGGGAGUGGAAUUGCCGGUGUAGCGAUGAAAUGCGUAGAUAUCGGGAGGAACACCAGUGGCGAAGGCGGCUCUCUGGCCAUUACUGACGCUCAUGCGCGAAAGCUGGGGGAGCGAACCGGAUUAGAUACCCGGGUAGUCCCAGCCGUAAACGAUGAAUGCUAGGUGUGGGUGUCGUAGGGCAUCUGUGCCGCAGUUAACGCGAUAAGCAUUCCGCCUGGGGAGUACGGUCGCAAGAUUGAAACUCAAAGGAAUUGACGGGGGCCCGCACAAGCGGUGGAGCACGUGGUUUAAUUCGAUGCAAACCGAAGAACCUUACCUGGGUACAUGACGUGGUACUACCUGAAAGGGGGGGAUUGCGUCAAGGUGCUGCAUGGCUGUCGUCAGCUCGUGUCGUGAGAUGUUGGGUUAAGUCCCGCAACGAGCGCAACCCCUGCAUCUAGUUGCCAACGGGUGAAGCUGGGCACUCUAGAUGGACUGCCGGCGACAAGCCGGAGGAAGGUGGGGAUGACGUCAAGUCAUCAUGGCCCUUAUGUCCAGGGCGACACACGUGCUACAAUGGCCGGUACAGCGGGAAGCGAAGGGGAGACCUGGAGCGAUCUCUGAAAGCCGGUCCCAGUUCGGAUUGUAGUCUGCAACUUGACUACAUGAAGCUGGAAUCGCUAGUAAUCGCGGAUCAGCCAAGCCGCGGUGAAUACGUUCCCGGGCCUUGUACUCACCCCCGUC